CCUACGGGAGGCAGCAGUGAGGAAUAUUGGUCAAUGGACGAGAGUCUGAACCAGCCAAGUAGCGUGAAGGAUGACUGCCCCAUGGGUUGUAAACUUCUUUUAUAUGGGAAUAAAAUGUUCCACGUGUGGGAUUUUGUAUGUACCAUAUGAAUAAGGAUCGGCUAACUCCGUGCCAGCAGCCGCGGUAAUACGGAGGAUUCGAGCGUUAUCCGGAUUUAUUGGGUUUAAAGGGAGCGUAGGUGGAUUGUUAAGUCAGUUGUGAAAGUUUGCGGCUCAACCGUAAAAUUGCAGUUGAAACUGGCAGUCUUGAGUACAGUAGAGGUGGGCGGAAUUCGUGGUGUAGCGGUGAAAUGCUUAGAUAUCACGAAGAACUCCGAUUGCGAAGGCAGUUCACUGGACUGCAACUGACACUGAGGCUCGAAAGUGUGGGUAUCAAACAGGAUUAGAUACCCUUGUAGUC
rnacentral:rRNA from 1 species